rnacentral:rRNA from 1 species
CCUACGGGAGGCAGCAGUGAGGAAUAUUGGUCAAUGGACUUAAGUCUGAACCAGCCAUGUCGCGUGCAGGAAGACGGCUCUAUGAGUUGUAAACUUCUUUUGUCCAAGGGUAAACCUGAAUACGUGUAUUCAGCUAAAAGUUCUCUACGAAUAAGGAUCGGCUAACUCCGUUCCAGCCGCCGCGGUAAUACGGAGGAUCGAGGCGUUAUCCGGAUUUAUUGGGUUUAAAGGGGUCGUAGGCGGAUUGCUAAGGUAGAGGUGAAAUGCCCGAGCUUAACUCGGGAACUGCCUCUAAUACUGUUGUUCUAGAGUGGAGAUGAGGUAGGCGGAAUGUAUGGUGUAGCGGUGAAAUGCUUAGAGAUCAUACAGAACACCGAUUGCGAAGGCAGCAUACC